CUUCAGCAUGAGGGCAUCAAACACCUCCUCUGAUUCUUUGCGCACGUACAGCAGGACUGUGUGGUGAAAAGUGAAAGAAGACYGAGGUCUCACAGGUUGGACAAUAUCUGGAUCACUGAACUCCAGUCGAAAAUGAGGUACUUUCAGAAARGUAAAGACAACAGUGUGUGAGCCGACGCACCUCACAUGAGGGCCAAACGAAGACAAUCGCGGAUGGGACUGCUUGGCUGACUUCAGCGACUGAAGGCGGUUAUUGUUGAAGGCGUGAGAGACGCCCAAACAAGCUCUGCAACUUGUCACCUGCUUGAGCCGCCCCCAUCUGCCCGGUCCAGUUCUGCUUCAGUCUGAGAGCUCAGCAGCAAUCACAGCUCGUCACUCUUCGCCGCAAAGAUUAGCUCAACUAAACGUCGUUCAAAUAUCAGAAAGUUCAAUGCAUAUUCAGAAUGGCAUCUUAGAGUGAUAUUUCUGAUCUUUUGAAACAGGGUUUAUUUAGAAAAUUUAAACCUCUUGCUCAUGUUGGCCCCUUUGUGUUAUUUCUGUUCUUUUAAAAGUUGUUCAAGACACAUAAAAACAUCUAAAAAGUAUAUUUAUUACAUUUUUCACUUAAGCACAGUUUUGUUAGCGAUGCAAUGC